rnacentral:rRNA from 1 species
GGUUAAGCGACUAAGCGUACACGGUGGAUGCCCUGGCAGUCAGAGGCGAUGAAGGACGUGCUAAUCUGCGAUAAGCGCCGGUAAGGUGAUAUGAACCGUUAUAACCGGCGAUUUCCGAAUGGGGAAACCCAGUGUGACUCGUCACACUAUCAUUAACUGAAUCCAUAGGUUAAUGAGGCGAACCGGGGGAACUGAAACAUCUAAGUACCCCGAGGAAAAGAAAUCAACCGAGAUUCCCCCAGUAGCGGCGAGCGAACGGGGAGGAGCCCAGAGCCUGAAUCAGCAUGUGUGUUAGUGGAAGCGUCUGGAAAGGCGCGCGAUACAGGGUGACAGCCCCGUAC